CUAAGUUUUGAAGUCUUGUAUGCUUGCAAAAGGUAUCCUUCCUGAACCCCAAGGAUAUCCUUUCCCACCCAUAACAUAAAGUGGCCAACAUUUUUGGCUCUCCUGAAAGCUACUCCUGAACUCCGGAUUGUCCACGAGGAUACAGCUUUUCAGGUAGGAAGGAGCCUUUUCUUUGACUCCUGAAAUCCCCAUCUUUUGGGUGAUAUCUUUGUGGGAACUCUUUCGUGCUCUCUCUCCCAUAAGCCCCAGAUCAGUCUGGCCACUGGAGUUUGUAACAGUUAAAAUUUAGGGGAGAUGGGGAGACUGAGGCAUCUGAGGCAGGUAGAAAUUAGUUUCUCUCUGCAAGGAGUAUUAUAUUUUUUACAGGUUUAUUAGAGGUUAAAGAUUAAAGAAUAUACAAGUAAGAAACAUGUGCCUAGGCCAGAGGCCUAGACAAAGUAACCUCACAUCAUGGAAGAGACGCAUCUGCUCCAAAAUGGAAGUCCAAAAGAGAGCCAAGAGAGAGACCUCUCAAACGCCUUUGAAUCAGCUUAAAUACCUUCUCGAUCUCCGCCCAGCUGAGCACCAUUAAGAAAAAUGGACUUCCGGGUAAACAUGGCUACAAUCUAGAUGUGACUCUCUUCCUCUCCACGGCACCAAAUGAAAUACACUACCUCAAAAGAGCAUAAAAAUCACCUUUGGAAGAACAGAGGGACUCUCCAGUACCCCACAGAAACGAAGGUACAUGGGGCUUGAACAUUUCCACACUAUAAGAAGGAGGAAAAUCUUGCACAAAAACGUGAACUGACUGACUUCCAGUCAAGAUGGCGGCUUAGAGAAAGCUAAAGUUCAGAUCUCCUGAAACCCUUCCUUACCGAUCUCAAACCAAAUGCUCCUAGGACACCGAAAUUCAAAACGAUCAACAGCAUAGACCCUGGGAGUCCUCCUCCUGGACCUGGACCUGGAUCAAAAGGUACGCGCCCCCCCCCCAAAAGCCAGAACCCGAGACCACUCGGACCUAAAGGGUAGGCAGAAGGAAGGUCCUAGGACCCAUCCCCCCUAACCCAGAGCUCUGAGUCCAAGUCCGAGGCAGCAGAGGCAACCUCAGAGCCCCACGGCCUACUAUUCUGAAGGCUACUUCCUGAAAACAACCUUACCCAGUGGAGGGGGCACCCAGACAGCAGGGAAACAGAGAGGGAUGGGGGAAGCUCAUAACACCCUGGGAGGAGCCCUCGGAGCUCUGGAAAGCCAUGGUCCCUCCCCCUCAGAGAGCAGGGUCUUCUGAAACAACAGCAACCCUCAGGAUUGGCAAACAGGCCUUGGGAGCCGGCUAUACUGAAGGCCACAUCCUGAAAACAACCUGACCCAGUCCCGGGGGCACCCAGACAGCAGG
rnacentral:lncRNA from 1 species